rnacentral:rRNA from 1 species
UAGUCAUAUGCUUGUCUCAAAGAUUAAGCCAUGCAUGUCUAAGUAUAAAUGGAUUAUACAGUGAAACUGCGAAUGGCUCAUUAAAUCAGUUAUAGUUUAUUUGAUAAUACCUUUUACUUGGAUAACCGUAAUAAUUUUAGAGCUAAUACAUGCGUGAAAGUGCGACUUUUGUGGAAGCACUGUAUUUAUUAGAUACAAAACCAAUCGAGCUUGCUCGUUACCUUGGUGAUUCAUAAUAACUAAACGAAUCGUAUGACUUUAUGUCGACGAUGAUUCAUUCAAAUUUCUGCCCUAUUUUCUUUCGAUGGUAAGGUAUUGUCUUACCGGGGUUACAACGGCGCGACGGAGAAAUAGGGUUCGAUUCCGGAGAGGGAGCCUGAGAAACGGCUACCACUUCUACGGAGG